rnacentral:rRNA from 2 species
GACGAACCGUGCGAACGUUGUUCGGAAUCACUGGGCUUAAAGGGCGCGUAGGCGGGCGAGCAAGUUCGGGGUGAAAUCUUUCGGCUCAACCGGAAAAGGGCCUCGGAGACUGCUCGUCUGGAGGGAGGUAGGGGCAGGUGGAACUGCUGGUGGAGCGGUGAAAUGCGUUGAUAUCAGCAGGAACGCCGGUGGCGAAAGCGACCUGCUGGACCUCUUCUGACGCUGAGGCGCGAAAGCUAGGGGAGCAAACGGG